rfam:Dipodomys ordii contig_26935, whole genome shotgun sequence.
GGGAAGGUGGCUCAGUGGUAGAGUUUUUGCCUUGCAUGCAUGAGACCCUGAGUUCGAUCCCUCAGCACCCCA